rnacentral:rRNA from 1 species
CGGACGGGUGAGUAACGCGUGAGGAACCUGCCUUUCAGUGGGGGACAACAGUUGGAAACGACUGCUAAUACCGCAUAACGUACGGGGUAUCGCAUGGUAUCUGUACCAAAGAUUUAUCGCUGAGAGAUGGCCUCGCGUCUGAUUAGCUAGUUGGUAGGGUAACGGCCUACCAAGGCGACGAUCAGUAGCCGGACUGAGAGGUUGGCCGGCCACAUUGGGACUGAGAUACGGCCCAGACUCCUACGGAAGGCAGCAG